CGUUUAACACCAGCUAAUCAAGUUGAGUGUCGUGAUCAGUCGGAUCAGUGAAUUUGAUCGGUCCCGGAGUUAUUUACGGUCUUUACGCGCUUUUGUAUAUAAUAACAGCCACCAAGAAGCAGUAAAUAUUUAUUAGAGGCAUCAAAAAUCUGAACUGGGAAAACUACGGAAAGAUUUGUGCCACCGGAUGCAAAGCUUAGCGAUUUCUUCUUAAAAUUGAUUGAGAUCACACUUGACGACGCAGUAGGUACCAAUUCCGCUAACGGCUGCGCAUUAGAGUCUUCGUACCACAAAGGAUAGUCUCGCCACAUUAAACCUUCCUCAUACCUACGCGGAUAUACCGCCACCGAACUUCGAACAUACACUCCGCAUACAGUACAUAUUUGAGGCGGCCAGUCACAAUUUGGCCAAUAUCGUAGCGAAAAUAUUUCAGGCGGCCGUGCAGAACAGAUUGGUCUACAUUCGGCUCGGUGUUAUCCAGUAGGAGAUGAUAACGUUCUUCUACGACCUCCUGACCAGUUUGCCCCAAUCAAUUUACGAAACUACCCAAACAAUGGCAUUCCACAGCAUAGUUAAAGAGGAAGAGUUCAAAUAUUGGGAGACAGCACGAAUACCAACUUAUGCCUGGUAUGACCAUUACCACCCGUACCGCAAUCAUCCGGUUUCAUCGACUACGCGGGAAUACACCACUUCGAAAGCGCUAGCGGAUUCAUAAAAUUUUCUAAUCCGUAAAGAUCUGCUUGUGAACCUUGGAAAGGUAAAGUUGUUGAGUGUUCCGUACACUAAAAUGAUCCUGAAAACGCACCUCAACGUAUCCCGCCUUCCACCCUCGGUAAUGGUGGAGACCGUGACUAGAUCAUCCGUUCACUGUACUUUUAGACGAAUGUCGAAAUAUUGUUCUUAACUGCUAUUCAUGAAUUCUUCAAUAAUUUUGAGAAAAUGUAUAAACAAACUUAGAAGAUAGUAGAGAAGCUAUAUAAGGCAAUAAACGAGAAUAAAUGAAAAAUAAUAGAACAAGUU